GGCGGACGGGUGAGUAAUGCCUAGGAAUCUGCCUGGUAGUGGGGGAUAACGUUCGGAAACGGACGCUAAUACCGCAUACGUCCUACGGGAGAAAGCAGGGGACCUUCGGGCCUUGCGCUAUCAGAUGAGCCUAGGUCGGAUUAGCUAGUUGGUGGGGUAAUGGCUCACCAAGGCGACGAUCCGUAACUGGUCUGAGAGGAUGAUCAGUCACACUGGAACUGAGACACGGUCCAGACUCCUACGGGAGGCAGCAGUGGGGAAUAUUGGACAAUGGGCGAAAGCCUGAUCCAGCCAUGCCGCGUGUGUGAAGAAGGUCUUCGGAUUGUAAAGCACUUUAAGUUGGGAGGAAGGGCAGUUACCUAAUACGUGAUUGUCUUGACGUUACCGACAGAAUAAGCACCGGCUAACUCUGUGCCAGCAGCCGCGGUAAUACAGAGGGUGCAAGCGUUAAUCGGAUUACUGGGCGUAAAGCGCGCGUAGGUGGUUUGUUAAGUUGGAUGUGAAAUCCCCGGGCUCAACCUGGGAACU
rnacentral:rRNA from 1 species